rnacentral:lncRNA from 1 species
ACCACUCUUUUCAACCUCCCGAAGGGCUGCCCAAAUUCGUUCGUGUGCUUAAAGUCGUAUCGAACCUCCGACGAAUUUCUCCGGCGAACUUUCGUGGAAUAAUCGUGUAAGUGGUUUCUUUUAGCUUCAAUUAUCCGAGUCUUAAUCGACCUUUUUCAAAGAGCUUUUUAAACAAAUUUCUCUUCAUCUUAAGCUCUCUUGAUUUCAAAAUACUCGAGUUGGCCACUCGUUAUUAUCGGGAAUUUGUGCACUAACUUUAUUUGCUCACUAACUCAUAAUUUGUGCUCCCAUUCCCAUCACUCCCA